rnacentral:rRNA from 1 species
AUUGAACGCUGGCGGCAUGCCUUACACAUGCAAGUCGAACGGCAGCACGGGUGCUUGCACCUGGUGGCGAGUGGCGAACGGGUGAGUAAUACAUCGGAACGUACCUUAUCGUGGGGGAUAACGCAGCGAAAGCUGUGCUAAUACCGCAUACGCCCUGAGGGGGAAAGCGGGGGAUCGCAAGACCUCGCGCGAUUAGAGCGGCCGAUGCCUGAUUAGCUUGUUGGUGGGGUAAAAGCCCACCAAGGCGACGAUCAGUAGCUGGUCUGAGAGGACGAUCGGCACAACUGGGACUGAGAAACGGCCGAGAGUACUACGGGAGGCAGCAGUGGGGAAUUUGGGACAAUGGGGGCAACCCUGAUCCAGCAAUGCCGCGUGAGUGAAGAAGGCCUUCGGGUUGUAAAGCUCUUUUGUCAGGGAAGAAACACCGGCUCUAACACAGUCCGGGAAUGACGGUACCUGAAGAAUAAGCACCGGCUAACUACGUGCCAGCCGCCGCCGUAA